GCUCAGAUUGAACGCUGGCGGCAUGCUUUACACAUGCAAGUCGAACGGCAGCACGAAAGAGCUUGCUCUUUUGGUGGCGAGUGGCGAACGGGUGAGUAAUACAUUGGAACGUACCGAGUAAUGGGGGAUAACUGUCCGAAAGGAUGGCUAAUACCGCAUACGCUCUGAGGAGGAAAGCGGGGGACCUUCGGGCCUCGCGUUAUUCGAGCGGCCAAUGUCUGAUUAGCUAGUUGGUGGGGUAAAGGCCUACCAAGGCGACGAUCAGUAGUGGGUCUGAGAGGAUGAUCCGCCACACUGGGACUGAGACACGGCCCAGACUCCUACGGGAGGCAGCAGUGGGGAAUUUUGGACAAUGGGCGAAAGCCUGAUCCAGCCAUGCCGCGUGUCUGAAGAAGGCCUUCGGGUUGUAAAGGACUUUUGUCAGGGAAGAAAGGGUUUNGGUUAAUACCCUGAGCUUAUGACG
rnacentral:rRNA from 1 species